rnacentral:tRNA from 1 species
UCCAGGGUAGCCUAGUGGACAUGGCAUCUGUCUGGUAAGCGGAACACUGUGGGUUCGAUUCCCAUCCCUGGAC